rnacentral:rRNA from 1 species
AGUGAACGCUGGCGGUAGGCCUAACACAUGCAAGUCGAACGGCAGCACAGGAGAGCUUGCUCUCUGGGUGGCGAGUGGCGGACGGGUGAGGAAUACAUCGGAAUCUACUCUGUCGUGGGGGAUAACGUAGGGAAACUUACGCUAAUACCGCAUACGACCUACGGGUGAAAGCAGGGGACCUUCGGGCCUUGCGCGAUUGAAUGAGCCGAUGUCGGAUUAGCUAGUUGGCGGGGUGAAGGCCCACCAAGGCGACGAUCCGUAGCUGGUCUGAGAGGAUGAUCAGCCACACUGGAACUGGGACACGGUCCAGACCCCUACGGGAGGCAGCAGUGGGGAAUAUUGGACAAUGGGCGCAAGCCUGAUCCAGCAAUACCGCGUGGGUAAAGAAGGCCUUCGGGUUGUAAAGCCCUUUUGUUGGGAAAGAAAUCCAGCUGGCUAAUACCCGGUUGGGAUGACGGUACCCAAAGAAUAAGCACCGGCUAACUUCGUGCCAGCAGCCGCAGUAA